rnacentral:rRNA from 1 species
AUUGAACGCUGGCGGCAGGCCUAACACAUGCAAGUCGAGCGGAUGACGGGAGCUUGCUCCUCGAUUCAGCGGCGGACGGGUGAGUAAUGCCUAGGAAUCUGCCUGGUAGUGGGGGACAACGUUUCGAAAGGAACGCUAAUACCGCAUACGUCCUACGGGAGAAAGCAGGGGACCUUCGGGCCUUGCGCUAUCAGAUGAGCCUAGGUCGGAUUAGCUAGUAGGUGAGGUAAUGGCUCACCUAGGCGACGAUCCGUAACUGGCCUGAGAGGAUGAUCAGUCACACUGGAACUGAGACACGGUCCAGACUCCUACGGGAGGCAGCAGUGGGGAAUAUUGGACAAUGGGCGAAAGCCUGGUCCAGCCAUGCCGCGUGUGUGAAGAAGGUCUUCGGAUUGUAAAGCACUUUAAGUUGGGAGGAAGGGCAGUAAGCUAAUACCUUGCUGUUUUGACGUUACCGACAGAAUAAGCACCGGCUAACUCUGUGCCAGCAGCCGCCGUAACAC